CGGGGCGUGGCUCAGCCCGGUAGAGCGCUCGGUUCGGGACCGAGAGGUCGUUGGUUCGAAUCCAAUCGCCCCGACCA
rnacentral:tRNA from 1 species